rnacentral:lncRNA from 1 species
AUGAAGGAAGGCUGAGGGGUUAAAAUCAUUGCUGGGUGAUUUCACCACUACUGCCCCAUAUUCAUACUCUCGGUAAAUGAAUGAGGAGAGCCCCAUGUGGGAUUACAAACUUGCUGGAAAUGGAUGAGAAACCUUCUGCUCUGCUGGAGUUUAUCUUGAGUGUGCCUUAAAAUUCCAUUUCAUGGAGAACUGUGCGUGGUUGAAUUUUGAUUGAUUACUCAAUUAACUGAUGUAUUGGUAGAGUGAUUAAGAAAGAAGACUUUGGGAUCAGACCAACCUGGUUUUGAAUUCAAGCUCAGCAACUUACUAGGUCAAACCGGAAAGAUGACAAUGAAUGUGGUGAUAUUUUUGUUACUACUUUGGGAGAAAAACUCCUGACGGUGCUGAUGUCCAAUGAAAUGAGACUGGGUUCUGGAAGAAUUUGA